AGCUUUUUGCAGUGGCAAUAUUGUAGCCAAUGAGGUUUAUCCAAGGCCCAAUUAUUGCUAAUUGAAAGUAUAGACAGAUCAGGAAAACAAAGUAAUGUCACUGAGAGCUUUAUGCCCACAUAUAGUAUGUUUUAUCAUAGUCUAUUCUA
rnacentral:snRNA from 13 species